UUCCGUAGGGGUACCUGCGGAGGGAUCAUUACUGAGUUUACGCUCUACAACCCUUUGUGAACAUACCUACAACUGUUGCUUCGGCGGGUAGGGUCUCCGCGACCCUCCCGGCCUCCCGCCUCCGGGCGGGUCGGCGCCCGCCGGAGGAUAACCAAACUCUGAUUUAACGACGUUUCUUCUGAGUGGUACAAGCAAAUAAUCAAAACUUUUAACAACGGAUCUCUUGGUUCUGGCAUCGAUGAAGAACGCAGCGAAAUGCGAUAAGUAAUGUGAAUUGCAGAAUUCAGUGAAUCAUCGAAUCUUUGAACGCACAUUGCGCCCGCCAGCAUUCUGGCGGGCAUGCCUGUUCGAGCGUCAUUUCAACCCUCAAGCUCUGCUUGGUGUUGGGGCCCUACAGCUGAUGUAGGCCCUCAAAGGUAGUGGCGGACCCUCCCGGAGCCUCCUUUGCGUAGUAACUUUACGUCUCGCACUGGGAUCCGGAGGGACUCUUGCCGUAAAACCCCCCAAUUUUCCAAAGGUUGACCUCGGAUCAGGUAGGAAUACCCGCUGAACUUAAGCAUAUCAAAACC
rnacentral:rRNA from 1 species